rnacentral:misc_RNA from 1 species
GAUGAAGAACGUAGCGAAAUGCGAUAAGUAAUGUGAAUUGCAGAAUUCAGUGAAUCAUCGAAUCUUUGAACGCACCUUGCGCUCCUUGGUAUUCCAAAGAGCAUGCCUGUUUGAGUAUCAUUAAAUUAUCAACUGUACCAAUUUGGUUGCAGAUUGGAUGUGGGAGAUUUUGCAGGCUUUUGAUUUCUCUUUGAGAAAACGGUCAGCUCUCCUGAAAUAUAUUAGCAGUGCCUUUGUUGGUUCAUUAGGUGUGAUAAUUUAUCUACAUCUUGACAUGGUACCUUCAUUUGUGUAAAGGUCAUAUUGCUUCUAAUUGUCUUUGGACAUAAAAAAAAAAAAACAUAUAAUUGUAUGGAAAACUUGAUCUCAAAUCAGGCAGGACUACCCGCUGAACUUAAGCAUAUCAAUAAGCGGAGGA